AUUGAACGCUGGCGGCAUGCUUUACACAUGCAAGUCGAACGGCAGCGCGGGCUUCGGCCUGGCGGCGAGUGGCGAACGGGUGAGUAAUGCAUCGGAACGUGCCCAGUAGUGGGGAUAGCCCGGCGAAAGCCGGAUUAAUACCGCAUACGACCUGAGGGUGAAAGCGGGGGACCGAAAGGCCUCGCGCUAUUGGAGCGACCGAUGUCGGAUUAGCUAGUUGGUGGGGUAAAGGCUUACCAAGGCGACGAUCCGUAGCUGGUCUGAGAGGACGACCAGCCACACUGGGACUGAGACACGGCCCAGACUCCUACGGGAGGCAGCAGUGGGGAAUUUUGGACAAUGGGGGCAACCCUGAUCCAGCCAUGCCGCGUGCGGGAAGAAGGCCUUCGGGUUGUAAACCGCUUUUGUUCGGGAAGAAAUCCUCUGGGCUAAUACCCCGGGGGGAUGACGGUACCGGAAGAAUAAGCACCGGCUAACUACGUG
rnacentral:rRNA from 1 species